rnacentral:rRNA from 1 species
UGGGGAAUUUUGGACAAUGGGCGCAAGCCUGAUCCAGCCAUACCGCGUGAGUGAAGAAGGCCUUCGGGUUGUAAAGCUCUUUCAGACGGAAAGAAACGGUUACGGCUAAUACCCGUGACUAAUGACGGUACCGUAAGAAGAAGCACCGGCUAACUACGUGCCAGCAGCCGCGGUAAUACGUAGGGUGUGAGCGUUAAUCGGACUUACUGGGCGUAAAGGGUGCGUAGGCGGAAGGAUAAGUUAGUGCUGAAAUAUCCCGGCUUAACCGGGAGGGUGGCAUUGAUACUGCAGGGCUUGAGUACAGAUGAAGUAGGCGGAAUUGACGGUGUAGCGGUGAAAUGCAUAGAUAUCGUCAAGAACACCGAUAGCGAAGGCAGCUUACUAAGCUGUAACUGACGCUGAGGUGCGAAAGCGUGGGGAGCAAACAGGAUUAGAUACCCUUGUAGUCCCUGAGCGGGCUGGCAAGGCGCAU